CCCCAUUUCAUGGAGAAGGGAGCCGAGCCUCAGAGAGGUGGAGAGACUUGUCCAAAGUCACCCAGUCUAUAAAAGAUUAAGCCACAGGCCUCUACAGUGCUGCCCUUGUAGCUCCCAGGAGACGAAGAACAUGAGGCCCAGAGAGGGUUUUGCAUGUACCCAGACUCUCACAGCUCGUGGAUGGGGUGAUGUCAGGAUUGGACCUCAAAUCUGCCUGAUUCCACAGCUGCUGUUGUUCCCCAGGCCCUGUCCCGAUCUCCUCUGCAUCAGCUGGAGUCUGAAGCAGUCUGGCCUUGUGGACUGGAAGAUGGCCACCAACAGCUUCAAGCCCAUGUCCUGCCAGAUCAGCAACAGAGGGAGCCACCCCUCAC